rnacentral:rRNA from 1 species
ACGGGGUGCAGCAGGCGCGAAACCUCCGCAAUACACGAAAGUGUGACGGGGUUACCCAAAGUGUUCAAUAGAACUGUGGUAGGUGAGUAAUGUUCCCUACUAGAAAGGAGAGGGCAAGGCUGGUGCCAGCCGCCGCGGUAAAACCAGCUCUUCAAGUGGUCGGGAUAAUUAUUGGGCUUAAAGUGUCCGUAGCCGGUUUAGUAAGUUCCUGGUAAAAUCGGGUAGCUUAACUAUCUAUAUGCUAGGAAUACUACUAUACUAGAGGGCGGGAGAGGUCUGAGGUACUACAGGGGUAGGGGUGAAAUCUUAUAAUCCUUGUUGGACCACCAGUGGCGAAGGCGUCAGACUGGAACGCGCCUGACGGUGAGGGACGAAAGCCAGGGGAGCGAACCGGAUUAGAUACCCGGGUAGUCCUGGCCGUAAACGAUGCAUACUAGGUGAUGGCACGGCCAUGAGCCGUGUCAGUGCCGUAGGGAAACCGUUAAGUGUGCCGCCUGGGAAGUACGGUCGCAAGGCUAAAACUUAAAGGAAUUGGCGGGGGAGCACCACAAGGGGUGAAGCCUGCGGUUCAAUUGGACUCAACGCCGGAAAACUUACCAGGGGAGACAGCAGUAUGACGGUCAGGUUGACGACCUUACCUAACGAGCUGAGAGGAGGUGCAUGGCCGUCGCCAGUUCGUGCCGUGAGGUAUCCUGUUAAGUCAG